rnacentral:rRNA from 1 species
UUGCCCUAGUAACGGCGAGUGAAGCGGCAACAGCUCAAAUUUGAAAUCUGGCGUCUUCGGCGUCCGAGUUGUAAUUUGCAGAGGGCGCUUUGGCAUUGGCAGCGGUCCAAGUUCCUUGGAACAGGACGUCACAGAGGGUGAGAAUCCCGUACGUGGUCGCUAGCCUUUACCGUGUAAAGCCCCUUCGACGAGUCGAGUUGUUUGGGAAUGCAGCUCUAAAUGGGAGGUAAAUUUCUUCUAAAGCUAAAUACUGGCCAGAGACCGAUAGCGCACAAGUAGAGUGAUCGAAAGAUGAAAAGCACUUUGGAAAGAGAGUUAAAAAGCACGUGAAAUUGUUGAAAGGGAAGCGCUUGCAGCCAGACUUGCCUGUAGUUGCUCAUCCGGGUUUUUACCCGGUGCACUCUUCUAUAGGCAGGCCAGCAUCAGUUUGGGCGGUUGGAUAAAGGUCUCUGUCAUGUACCUCCUUUCGGGGAGAUCUUAUAGGGGAGACGACAUGCAACCAGCCUGGACUGAGGUCCGCGCAUCUGCUAGGAUGCUGGCGUAAUGGCUGUAAGCGGCCCGUCUUGAAACACGGACCAAGGAGUCUAACAUCUAUGCGAGUGUUUGGGUGUCAAGCCCGAACGCGUAAUGAAAGUGAACGGAGGUGGGAACCUUUCGGGGUGCACCAUCGACCGAUCCUGAUGUCUUCGGAUGGAUUUGAGUAAGAGCAUAGCUGUUGGGACCCGAAAGAUGGUGAACUAUGCUUGAAUAGGGUGAAGCCAGAGGAAACUCUGGUGGAGGCUCGCAGCGGUUCUGACGUGCAAAUC